AGACCCGAAACCCGGUGAUCUAGCCAUGGGCAGGUUGAAGGUUGGGUAACACUAACUGGAGGACCGAACCGACUAAUGUUGAAAAAUUAGCGGAUGACCUGUGGCUGGGGGUGAAAGGCCAAUCAAACCGGGAGAUAGCUGGUUCUCCCCGAAAGCUAUUUAGGUAGCGCCUCGUGAAUUCAUCUCCGGGGGUAGAGCACUGUUUCGGCUAGGGGGCCAUCCCGGCUUACCAACCCGAUGCAAACUGCGAAUACCGGAGAAUGUUAUCACGGGAGACACACGGCGGGUGCUAACGUCCGUCGUGAAGAGGGAAACAACCCAGACCGCCAGCUAAGGUCCCAAAGUCAUGGUUAAGUGGGAAACGAUGUGGGAAGGCCCAGACAGCCAGGAUGUUGGCUUAGAAGCAGCCAUCAUUUAAAGAAAGCGUAAUAGCUCACUGGUCGAGUCGGCCUGCGCGGAAGAUGUAACGG
rnacentral:rRNA from 3 species